UGGGGAAUAUUGCACAAUGGGGGAAACCCUGAUGCAGCAACGCCGCGUGAGCGAUGAAGGCCUUCGGGUCGUAAAGCUCUGUCCUAAGGGAAGAUAAUGACGGUACCUUAGGAGGAAGCCCCGGCUAACUACGUGCCAGCAGCCGCGGUAAUACGUAGGGGGCAAGCGUUAUCCGGAAUUACUGGGCGUAAAGGGUGCGUAGGCGGCCUUGUAAGUCAGAAGUGAAAGGCUACGGCUCAACCGUAGUAAGCUUUUGAAACUGCAGGGCUUGAGUGCAGGAGAGGAGAGUAGAAUUCCUAGUGUAGCGGUGAAAUGCGUAGAUAUUAGGAGGAAUACCAGUUGCGAAGGCGGCUCUCUGGACUGUAACUGACGCUGAGGCACGAAAGCGUGGGGAGCGAACAGGAUUAGAUACCCCUGUAGUCC
rnacentral:rRNA from 1 species